AGCAAAGGUUGGGUUAGGUUAGUUUUGCUGUUUUAGCUAAAGAUUGGAUUUAAAUUUGCAUGUGUCUUUGUUGCUCUGCUAGGCGUUUCAUGCUGCGCCCUGGCACUUGUUUCCCCAUAAUCUGUAGUCAAGGACAAAAUGAGAAAGCCAUCUCUGUGUCCAGAGGCCAGUGCCAUACAGGAAACACAUCAGCGGCGUGCCACAGUGGGUUCCUGGCACAGUGAUGCCUGUCAUCCACAGCAGUGCUUGAAUGAGACUCACUGGAAGACUGUGACAUACCGUAUGAGCGUUUUGUAGACUGGGUUGUGCUAAAUUCAGAAUUUAACAAUUGGUUUUCAGUUCAUGAGUGUGAAUUUAAAUUGAAUUGGCCACACCUAACAGAAAGUUGAUUUUAAAUGUGAACUGGAAUGACAGCACAAAGAAAAUACAAAGAAAUUCAACACAGUUCAUUGUUCUGGGAAAUUGAGAUCAUCCACAGCUUGUGUUUUCAAACCUUCUCUUUUGUGUACAGACCAUAACCUUAAUGUUUGCCAAAGCGGGUACAUUUUAUUAACUUUGUCCAGUCUUCAGAGACUAUUUAAUGUGCAACCUAAUUAUUGUAAAACAAUGACAUCCUUAUAAACAGAUAUGGGUGCCGGUCUAUCAGGCAACCUAGAUAAAUAUUUAGGAGAGCUUUGUUUCUUGGCUUGCAGCCAUAUCUUGAUGACAUUGUAGCUCUGUCCUCCAAACAGUAUGAUGCAAUGAAAGACAAUCUUCCACACAGCAGUGAGCGGCCCUGCUUUACUUCGGUACCUACAUUAUUCUCAGAGGGUACUAUGCAAGUGAGCAUCAGAAGAAUGCAAUGAAAUCCAAGCAUAUUCACCUGGUGGAACAUGCAGGCUCUGCAGGGAGUAUAGCGUGUGCUGAUGCUGCCAAGGCUGGCCACAGUAAAGACUGGCAUCCAUUUACAUCAUGCUUGAGUGAACGGAUACUCCAAUUACAGGAAAUGCAUACACUGGCCUCCCGGGCUGGUGCUUUCAGUCUGCCUGUCUUACAUAACCACAAAUUGCUGGACAUUUAUGAACUGGAGGCUCCAUUGUUUCAGCUCUAUGUUCAUAUUUUAGGGUUGUAAACAGAAACCGAUUGGGGUGAUAUUUCGUAACAUCUUAAGACACUGGUAUUUCCUCAUUAAGGGGAACUACCUGAAAUGUGUAUUUUUUUGUUGCACUGUUGCUGCUGUUAACAGGACAAGUCUAAAAACUAAAACUGUGAACUAUAUUUUACUUUAAUUUUAGAUAACUAUAUCUAACAGCUAUGUUUUUCGUUGGCAUGACAUUAGCACUGCAAAAAAAUUGUCGACUAACUGCUUUUUGCAACAACUUGUAAUAUUAAAACAUUUCUUUACUGUUUUAUUAUGCUUUUUUUGCACAGUUUUACUGCCAA
ensembl:lncRNA